rnacentral:rRNA from 1 species
AGAGUUUGAUCCUGGCUCAGGACGAACGCUGGCGGCGUGCCUAACACAUGCAAGUCGAGCGGAGACAGUGAGUAGCUUGCUAUGAGCUGUUUUAGCGGCGGACGGGUGAGUAACGCGUGAGCAACCUUUCCCAGACAGGGGAAUAACACACCGAAAGGUGUACUAAUACCGCAUGAGACCACGGUUUCACAUGGGACUGGGGUAAAAGAUUUAUCGGUUUGGGGUGGGCUCGCGUCCGAUUAGGUAGUUGGUGAGGUAACGGCCCACCAAGCCGACGAUCGGUAGCCGACCUGAGAGGGUGAUCGGCCACAUUGGGACUGAGACACGGCCCAAACUCCUACGGGAGGCAGCAGUGUGGGAAUAUUGGGCAAUGGGGGGAACCCUGACCCAGCAACGCCGCGUGGAGGAAGAAGGUUUUCGGAUCGUAAACUCCUGUCCUUGGAGACGAGUAGAAGACGGUAUCCAAGGAGGAAGCCCCGGCUAACUACGUGCCAGCAGCCGCGGUAAUACGUAGGGGGCAAGCGUUGUCCGGAAUAAUUGGGCGUAAAGGGCGCGUAGGCGGCUCGGUAAGUCUGGAGUGAAAGUCCUGCUUCUAAGGUGGGAAUUGCUUUGGAUACUGUCGGGCUUGAGUGCAGGAGAGGUUAGUGGAAUUCCCAGUGUAGCGGUGAAAUGCGUAGAGAUUGGGAGGAACACCAGUGGCGAAGGCGACUAACUGGACUGUAACUGACGCUGAGGCGCGAAAGUGUGGGGAGCAAACAGGAUUAGAUACCCUGGUAGUCCACACUGUAAACGAUGAAUGCUAGGUGUAGGGGGUAUCGACCCCUUCUGUGCCGCAGUCAACACAAUAAGCAUUCCGCCUGGGGAGUACGGCCGCAAGGUUGAAACUCAAAGGAAUUGACGGGGGCCCGCACAAGCAGCGGAGCAUGUGGUUUAAUUCGACGCAACGCGAAGAACCUUACCAGGUCUUGACAUCCACUUAAACUUACAGAGAUGUAAGGUGUGCUUGCACAAAGUGAGACAGGUGCUGCAUGGUUGUCGUCAGCUCGUGUCGUGAGAUGUUGGGCUAAGUCCCGCAACGAGCGCAACCCUUAUCUUCAGUUACUAACGCGUAGAGGUGAGGACUCUGAAGAGACUGCCGGGGACAACUCGGAGGAAGGUGGGGACGACGUCAAAUCAUCAUGCCCCUUAUGACCUGGGCUACACACGUGCUACAAUGGCCACGACAGAGAGAAGCGAAAUCGCAAGGUAGAGCGGAACUCAAAAAAGUGGUCCCAGUUCGGAUUGUGGGCUGCAACCCGCCCACAUGAAGUCGGAGUUGCUAGUAAUCGCGGAUCAGCAUGCCGCGGUGAAUACGUUCCCGGGCCUUGUACACACCGCCCGUCACACCAUGGGAGUUGGGAGUGCCCAAAGCCGGUGAGGCAACCGCAAGGAGCCAGCCGUCUAAGGCAAGACCAAUGACUGGGGUGAAGUCGUAACAAGGUAGCCGUAUCGGAAGGUGCGGCUG